GACGAACGCUGGCGGCGUGCUUAACACAUGCAAGUCGAACGGAAAGGCCCCGCUUUUGUGGGGUGCUCGAGUGGCGAACGGGUGAGUAACACGUGAGUAACCUGCCCUUGACUUUGGGAUAACUUCAGGAAACUGGGGCUAAUACCGGAUAGGAGCUCCUGCUGCAUGGUGGGGGUUGGAAAGUUUCGGCGGUUGGGGAUGGACUCGCGGCUUAUCAGCUUGUUGGUGGGGUAGUGGCUUACCAAGGCUUUGACGGGUAGCCGGCCUGAGAGGGUGACCGGCCACAUUGGGACUGAGAUACGGCCCAGACUCCUACGGGAGGCAGCAGUGGGGAAUAUUGCACAAUGGGCGGAAGCCUGAUGCAGCAACGCCGCGUGCGGGAUGACGGCCUUCGGGUUGUAAACCGCUUUCGCCUGUGACGAAGCGUGUGUGACGGUAAUGGGUAAAGAAGCACCGGCUAACUACGUG
rnacentral:rRNA from 1 species